rfam:Arthrobotrys oligospora ATCC 24927 unplaced genomic scaffold scaffold00097, whole genome shotgun sequence.
GCCCUCCUAGCUCAAUCGGAAGAGCGUGGGACUUUUAUGAGCAUAGAAAUGCCAAUAAAAACAUCCCAAGGUCGGGAGUUCGAGCCUCCCGGAGGGCG